rnacentral:rRNA from 1 species
CCUACGGGAGGCUGCAGUGAGGAAUAUUGGUCAAUGGGCGCGAGCCUGAACCAGCCAAGUAGCGUGAAGGAUGACUGCCCUACGGGUUGUAAACUUCUUUUAUCAAGGAAUAAAGUGAGCCACGUGUGCCGUUUUGUAGGUACCUUAUGAAUAAAGAUCGGCUAACUCCGUGCCAACAGCCGCGGUAAUACGGAGGAUCCGAGCGUUAUCCGGAUUUAUUGGGUUUAAAGGGAGCGUAGAUGGGUUGUUAAGUCAGUUGUGAAAGUUUGCGGCUCAACCGUAAAAUUGCAAUUGAAACUGGCGCUCUUGAGUACAGUUGAGGUAGGCGGAAUGCGUGGUGUAGCGGUGAAAUGCUUAGAUAUCACGAAGAACUCCGAUUGCGAAGGCAGCCUACUGGACUGCUACUGACACUGAGGCUCGAAAGUGUGGGUAUCAAACAGGAUUAGAUACCCUGGUAGUC